AAUAAAUGCGGUUUUGCACUAUUUAUGUCCAACGUUCGAUCGUUCAUCUUAUUUGAAUAUUUUUAUGAUUAAUAUUUUUUAUUGUUAUUAAAUGAUAAAAUAUGAAUAACACUUUAUGUGUGACUAUUUUUUUUAAUCUUUUAUAAAUUUUUCAAAUAAGACGGACAAUCAAACGUUGGACACGGAUACCCACAGCUGCACUUAUU
rnacentral:pre_miRNA from 1 species